rnacentral:rRNA from 1 species
GGAAUAUUGGACAAUGGGCGCAAGCCUGAUCCAGCCAUACCGCGUGGGUGAAGAAGGCCUUCGGGUUGUAAAGCCCUUUUGUUGGGAAAGAAAUCCAGCUGGCUAAUACCCGGUUGGGAUGACGGUACCCAAAGAAUAAGCACCGGCUAACUUCGUGCCAGCAGCCGCGGUAAUACGAAGGGUGCAAGCGUUACUCGGAAUUACUGGGCGUAAAGCGUGCGUAGGUGGUCGUUUAAGUCCGUUGUGAAAGCCCUGGGCUCAACCUGGGAACUGCAGUGGAUACUGGACGACUAGAGUGUGGUAGAGGGUAGCGGAAUUCCUGGUGUAGCAGUGAAAUGCGUAGAGAUCAGGAGGAACAUCCAUGGCGAAGGCAGCUUCCUGGACCAACACUGACACUGAGGCACGAAAGCGUGGGGAGCAAACAGGAUUAGAUACCCUGGUAGUCCACGCCCUAAACGAUGCGAACUGGAUGUUGGGUGCAAUUUGGCACGCAGUAUCGAAGCUAACGCGUUAAGUUCGCCGCCUGGGGAGUACGGUCGCAAGACUGAAACUCAAAGGAAUUGACGGA